UCUAUUCUAUUUCUUUCUAUAAACGCCAUUGGAUUGUCAUCGAACGGCAGCCGCCGAGUUAGGCGUCUGGACGGCUCCCAGUAACGCAACGCUUCUCGGCUUCUCGCCUCUUCUCUCACCCGUGACUCCGCCGCCGCAUCUCUCCUCCAACGCGCCGCCGCAUCUCUUCAACGCUCCAUGGUCCCCUUCACCUCCCGCCGCUACCCUACCCAUGGCCACCGCAGCCGCUCGUGCUACCCUCCCGCGGCCCCUCCUCUCUCUCCCACCCUUCCUCCUCCCACCACAUCCUCCGUGUGUCAGCCCGUCGUUGGCUCCGCCUUCUAUUGCCGUAGGGAACACGCGGCGUCGCCCUUGCGCUCCUCGCCACAUGCUGUUACAGGCUGUCGUACCCGUGUCCGCGGUUGAGGGCCUUGUGCCGGUCAUGUUGAAGAAGAAGCCCAUCGACUAGAUCUAUCUCGUCGUCGUGCGCCUCUCUGCCGAAGAGAGGCAACGCCUCCUCCGCGGUGCCAUCACGUGCUCCUCUCACUACUGCUUCCACUCCUCCCAGAGUCCCAGUACACCCCCGCCUUGUGGCAUCGCUGCUCGCCGCGGCCCUGCACCUCAGCCCUGCCUCCAUCCCGAGUCACACACCUAUCCUUUGAAGAAUUAAUGGCGACUGGAAGCAGCUUUUUACAGGUGAUUUCUGCACCCAUCUCCUUUGAAGAAUGAAUGACGACUGGAAGAAGCUUUUGACAGGAGUGCCAUUCUGCUAGAUGCCACACGCUAGCUAAAGCAAAGAUACACAUAGAGCAAAGAGGGGAAAAGAAUAUGAGCUGAAAUGCGCAAAAGGCUAAGGAAAGCAGACAACUUAUUGCAAAUAAGAAAUCAGUACAAAUGAUGAAUCGACCUAUGAAAAUUGAGUCCGAUGGGAAUUUGGAUCCAAAGAAAGGUGGUGCUGUCUUGGAUUCUACUAAAACUAUAGGACUUACAAGUGUUAAGUAGUGGGAUGACUGGCAUAUAGUUGGAUUUCCUGGGGCAGAGCUAUUAAGUACUAGUGUAAGUGCAUUUUAAAUCCAAGUACCAUGUCUGGUGACUGGUGAUCUCAUUUGGGCAUAUUAAUAAUGUAACCUUCUUCAUAGCUUUCGUGUUUAUUACAGUAAGACAUGAAAAUCCUUUUGAUUUGAGGAAAAGCUUCUAUGUUGUCAGAA